AUUAUAGCAAAGAGGAUACACCUGUUCCCAUUCCGAACACAGAAGUUAAGCUCUUUAGCGCCGAUGGUACUUGGUGGGAAGCUGCCUGGGAGAGUAGGACGUA
rnacentral:rRNA from 1 species